UGUGCUAAGGUAGCAUAAUAAUUUGCUAUUUAAUUGGUAGCUGGAAUGAAAGGUUGAACUAAUUUUAUUUAUUUGCUUAACAAAAAAAGAAAUUAAAGUUGAGGUAAGAAUUCUUUAAUUUUCUAGGGGACGAUAAGACCCUAGAAGCUUGAUAAAUAUAAAUAAUUAUUAGUGAUGGUAUUAAAUUUAUUUUACUGGGGCGGUGUUAGUACUUAAACUAUUACUUAAAGAAUAGAUCCUUUAAAUAAAGAAAAAAUGGAAAAGUUACUCUAGGGAUAACAGUGCAAUAUUUUUGGAGAGAUCUUAUCGAUAAAUGUGUUUGCAACCUCGAUGUUGAAUUAGGAUAUCUACAUGAAGCAG
rnacentral:rRNA from 1 species